rnacentral:rRNA from 1 species
UACGUAGGUGGCAAGCGUUGUCCGGAUUUAUUGGGUUUAAAGGGUGCGUAGGCGGCCUUGUAAGUCAGUGCUGAAAUAUCCCGGCUUAACCAGGAGGGUGGCAUUGAUACUGCAGGGCUUGAGUAAAGUUGAGGUUGGCGGAAUUGACGGUGUAGCGGUGAAAUGCUUAGAUAUCGUCAAGAACACCGAUAGUGAAGACAGCUAACUAAGCUUUAACUGACGCUGAGGCACGAAAGUGUGGGGAUCAAACAGG